rnacentral:lncRNA from 1 species
CAGAGUCCAAUUUUGCGACACAAAUGAGACCCUGAAUUCCAAACCUUGGGGAAAAACAGGGAAUUCCGGUGCCAGGAGGAAAAGCUCCCUCCAGGCUCUCGCUCUGCCUGGGCCACCAAGCGCCAAAAUUCCCUUUUUUCCCCAAAUUCCCUGGGAUUUGCCGUGCCAGGAGCGGGCAAUGCCCUCCCUGCAGCUCCUGGAGAUCCCAGCGCUGUUCCGUUCCAGCUGGAGAGAGCAGCAGAGUCCCGGAGGUUGCGCCCGGAGCAGCAUUCCCGGGAUAUUCCCGGGAUAUUCCCGGGAUAUUCCCCAUUCCCAGGGAACCUGGGGGAGCUCUGCCUUCCCAGGGCAUCCCAAAAGAAGCGCUGGAUCUCUCCCUGCACACAAAAACUCCCGCUGGGAAUUUCCCUUCCCUGUUUUCCACAGCUGCACCCCCUCGGCCGCGCAGACAGAUCGGAUUCCCCGAGAAAAUUCCAGAGGCGCUUCCAGUGUUUCAAAGGAAAAUGAAGCCCCUUUGGAAAUGUGAAGCUCCGAGAUAAUGACCGGAUCGCUCCAGGACUGGAUGGGAACAGGUGAUGCUUUUUUCCUUCCUUUCUUGUUCCCAUCUGUCCUUUGUUCCACGGGAGACCGAGGAGAGACAGAAACGAGAUCAUUUUGAUAUUCCCCCUUUUUGUGCAUCCGACUUUUCCCGAGGAGCGCGGACGCGCCUUGGGCCCGCUCCAGGCGCCGCCGGAGCGGGGAUGCGGAAAAACCCCGCUAAAAUCCCGCUAAAAUCCCACCAAAAACCCAAAACUCAACUUUUGAUCUCUUGAAAAUCCCAAAGUGGCCGGGCUGGGGCUGCUCCGACCCCAGCUCCGGAUGGGCCCCCAGGAAGAUGCUCCAGGGACAGCCCGACCCAAAUCCAAAGAAAUCCCUCGAAAAAUGGGAUUUUCUGCUGGGUUUCAGUGGAAUUUUACUCCAGGGGGUUUAAUUCCAGUUUGGGACUUCACCAUAAAUGGAGCCCAACCCGAUUUAUCCCCAUUCCCAAUCCCUUCUCCUGCAAUUUGUGGCCGCUUCAGCCUCUUUCCUCCCCAAAUUCCUUCAAUUCCUCCUCCAAACCCAAUCCCAAGGCAACAAUCCCCUCGGAGAAUCCCAAAUCCCAAAUUCCCGGCAGAAAUCCCCGUGGGGGCUGCACAGGGAAAGACUUGAGCUUCUGUUCCCAUUUUUUUCCCCCCAGUUAGGAGAAUUUGGGCAGGAUUUUCCCUCACUUCUGUGUUGGAUUAGCAAUGAUGGAAUUGGGAAUAUUUCCUGCAAAUAAUCCCAGGUAUCCAGAGUUUUUCCUUAAGGUCUCUUAGUUUGGAAGUCUCCUCAGGAAGAAGAGAUCCUUUUCCUGAGUAUCCCAUUUUAAAAUUUUUUAAGUUAUUUAUUUAGUUCAGAUCAUUUAUUUGAUCUCCCUUUCUCUGCCAAAUAUUCCCCCCCCAAAAAAUCUCCUUUAAGUCCCAACCUGCCACCACUACCCGGGAUUUAUCCUGGAUUUCCAAACAAUC